rnacentral:rRNA from 1 species
UACGGGAGGCAGCAGUGGGGAAUAUUGCACAAUGGGCGCAAGCCUGAUGCAGCCAUGCCGCGUGUAUGAAGAAGGCCUUCGGGUUGUAAAGUACUUUCAGUCGUGAGGAAGGUGUUAAGGUUAAUAACCUUAGCAAUUGACGUUAGCGACAGAAGAAGCACCGGCUAACUCCGUGCCAGCAGCCGCGGUAAUACGGAGGGUGCGAGCGUUAAUCGGAAUUACUGGGCGUAAAGGGCACGCAGGCGGUUAAUUAAGUUGGAUGUGAAAUCCCCGGGCUUAACCUGGGAAUGGCAUUCAAGACUGGUUAGCUAGAGUCUUGUAGAGGGGGUAGAAUUCCAUGUGUAGCGGUGAAAUGCGUAGAGAUGUGGAGGAAUACCGGUGGCGAAGGCGGCCCCUGGACAAAGGCUGACGCUCAUGUGCGAAAGCGUGGGGAGCGAAACAGGAUUAGAUACC